AAUUUCUUUUACUUUUGGUCCUUCAUGUCAAGACUGAAAUUCAAGGAUAUGACUGUUAAUUGAAUUACUAAUGGAUUCAGCAUCUGUCGAUUGCAAUUUAAACACCAAUUUAUUCCUUGCCUCCCAUAUUUGCCAAGCAAUGAUCACCACCCUUUCCAACUCUAAGGGAGAAGCUCGAUCAAAAAGCUAAAAUCAAUGGUCUUGGUAGCUCCAAAAGGACCUGUUAUCAAAGAGAGAACUAACAUUAGUCGAUAGGAACCUUGACCAGAUUUCCUUAGGAACCUG
rnacentral:misc_RNA from 1 species